rnacentral:rRNA from 1 species
AUUGAACGCUGGCGGCAGGCCUAAAAAAUGCAAGUCGAACGAGUGGCGGACGGGUGAGUAAUGUCUGGGAAACUGCCCGAUGGAGGGGGAUAACUACUGGAAAUGGUAGCUAAUACCGCAUACCAUCGGAUGUGCCAAGAUGGGAUUAGCUAGUAGGUGGGGUAACGGCUCACCUAGGCGACGAUCCCUAGCUGGUUUGAGAGGAUGAACAGCCACACUGGAACUGAGACACGGUCCAGACUCCUACGGGAGGCAGCAGUGGGGAAUAUUGCACAAUGGGGGAAAGCCUGAUGCAGCCAUGCCGCGUGUAUGAUGAAGGCCUUCGGGUUGUAAAGUACUUUCAGCAGGGAAGCGUUACCCGCAGAAUAAGCACCGGCUAACUCCGUGCCAGCAGCCGCGGUAAUUC